rnacentral:rRNA from 1 species
UACGUAGGGUGCGAGCGUUGCCCGGAUUUAUUGGGCGUAAAGAGCGUGUAGGCGGCUAGGUAGGUCCGUUGUGAAAACUCGAGGCUCAACCUCGAGACGCCGAUGGAAACCAUCUGGCUAGAGUUCGGGAAGAGGCGAGUGGAAUUCCCGGUGUAGCGGUGAAAUGCGCAGAUAUCGGGAGGAACACCUAUGGCGAAGGCAGCUCGCUGGGACGUUACUGACGCUGAGACGCGAAAGCGUGGGGGAGCAAACAGG